rnacentral:rRNA from 1 species
AGGGAGGAAGGUAGUGUAGUUAACACCUGCAUUAUUUGACGUUACCUACAGAAGAAGCACCGGCUAACUCCGUGCCAGCAGCCGCGGUAAUACGGAGGGUGCGAGCGUUAAUCGGAAUUACUGGGCGUAAAGCGCAUGCAGGCGGCCUGUUAAGUCAGAUGUGAAAGCCCCGGGGCUUAACCUCGGAAUUGCAUUUGAAACUGGCAGGCUAGAGUCUUGUAGAGGGGGUAGAAUUUCAGGUGUAGCGGUGAAAUGCGUAGAGAUCUGAAGGAAUACCAGUGGCGAAGGCGGCCCCCUGGACAAAGACUGACGCUCAGAUGCGAAAGCGUGGGGAGCAAACAGGAUUAGAUACCCUGGUAG